GGUUUGAAAAGUAUUUUUACACUGAGCCAGUAAUAAUGUGCCACGUAUGCACUUUAUGAAAAUCCAAAAUUGAGCCGUACACAUCUAAACCCCUCUCUGCCCCUCCCCCUUCCGUCUGUAACCCGAUUUUCCCAAGCCACGCCCUUUCUCUCCUAACAAUUCCACACCACAAAGCUAGAGGUAGCAACCCAAACACCGUUCCUGCUCCUCACAAUAUUCAACACUACGCCGCUCUCUCUCCAGGGAUGGGGGAAGGCGUGGUUUGGGAGAGAAAGGGUCACUAGGAGGGCAUGGCUUGCCAAUAAAAUUAUGCUUAUUAUUGUUGCCGCUGGGAGAGAAAGGGCAUGACUUGGGAGAAUCGGGCUACUGAGGGAUGGGAGAGGGGGAGAGAGGGGUUUGGAUGUGUGCGGCUCUACUUUGAAUUUUCAUAAAGUGCCUAUAUGGCACAUUAUUAUUGGCCCAGUGUAAAAAUGCUUUUUAAACCUGUCCGGCCUCUAGCUUUUCUCUAUGCACAAUCAUAUAUAUUUUUAAAAAAUUAGAAUGAAACAAAGUCAUUUCGUUUUGGAAAA